UCUAAAGUGGCAGAAUAGUGUAAUGAAUUUAAAAUUCACUGAUGAAAUUUUAAUUUCUUUUAGAA
rnacentral:tRNA from 1 species